rnacentral:rRNA from 1 species
GAGGAAUAUUGGUCAAUGGGCGCAAGCCUGAACCAGCCAUCCCGCGUGCAGGAAGACGGCGCUAUGCGUUGUAAACUGCUUUUCCAGGGAGAGAAACUUGCGCACGUGUUGCGCAAUUGACGGUACCCUGGGAAUAAGCAUCGGCUAACUCCGUGCCAGCAGCCGCGGUAAUACGGAGGAUGCGAGCGUUAUCCGGAUUCAUUGGGUUUAAAGGGUGCGUAGGCGGACUAUUAAGUCAGUGGUGAAAUCCUGCAGCUUAACUGCAGAACUGCCAUUGAUACUGAUAGCCUUGAGUUUGGUUAAGGUAGGCGGAAUGUGUAAUGUAGCGGUGAAAUGCUUAGAUAUUACACAGAACACCAAUUGCGUAGGCAGCUUACUGAGCCGACACUGACGCUGAGGCACGAAAGCGUGGGGAUCGAACA